AGUUUGCUGAAUAAUUUAUAUGAUACUCAUAAAUUGUGAAUAAGGAAACUAUUUUGUUGAAUAAAGUAGCAUUUUUCAUGAAUAAUCGUAUCUGAAUUUUGUUCAAGAUUUAUCGAAUAAAAAUCAUAUUUAUGUGAAUAAGGAAUAAAGUUUGUUGAAUAAUUUAUAUGAUACUCAUAAAUUGUGAAUAAUAAACAAAUAUGACAUGACCACA
rnacentral:lncRNA from 1 species